AACGCUAGCUACAGGCUUAACACAUGCAAGUCGAGGGGCAGCACAGUGUAGCAAUACAUGGGUGGCGACCGGCGCACGGGUGCGUAACGCGUAUCCAACCUUCCCGUUACUCAGGGAUAGCCUUCCGAAAGGGAGAUUAAUACCUGAUGGUGUUCAAAUUCCGCAUGUUAUUUGAACUAAAGAUUUAUCGGUAACGGAUGGGGAUGCGUGACAUUAGGUAGAUGGCGGGGUAACGGCCCACCAUGCCUACGAUGUCUAGGGGUUCUGAGAGGAAGGUCCCCCACACUGGAACUGAGACACGGUCCAGAUUCCUACGGGAGGCAGCAGUGAGGAAUAUUGGUCAAUGGUCGGAAGACUGAACCAGCCAAGUAGCGUGAAGGAUGAAGGUUCUAUGGAUUGUAAACUUCUUUUAUACGGGAAUAAAUACCCACCUACGUGUAGGUGCUUGUAUGUACCGUAUGAAUAAGCAUCGGCUAACUCCGUGCCAGCAGCCGCGGUAAUACGGAGGAUGCGAGCGUUAUCCGGAUUUAUUGGGUUUAAAGGGAGCGUAGACGGGAGAUUAAGUCAGUUGUGAAAGGCUGCGGCUCAACCGCAGCACUGCAGUUGAUACUGGUUUCCUUGAGUUCGGUUGAGGUGUAUGGAAUUCGUGGUGUAGCGGUGAAAUGCUUAGAUAUCACGAAGAACUCCGAUUG
rnacentral:rRNA from 1 species